ACGCUCGACACCUACGGGAGACAGCAGUGAGGAAUAUUGGUCAAUGGGCGCUAGCCUGAACCAGCCAAGUAGCGUGAAGGAUGAAGGCUCUAUGGGUCGUAAACUUCUUUUAUAUAAGAAUAAAGUGCAGUAUGUAUACUGUUUUGUAUGUAUUAUAUGAAUAAGGAUCGGCUAACUCCGUGUCAGCCGCCGCGGUAAUCUGAGCGGGCUGGCAAGGC
rnacentral:rRNA from 1 species